UCCCGUUUAGCUCAGCUGGUAGAGCGCGUCACUAGUACUUGAGUUCCUGAAUCCAAUUACGUAAUGACGAGGUCAGUCGUUCGAGUCGGCUAAUGGGAA